CGAACGGUAACAGGAAGCAGCUUGCUGCUUCGCUGACGAGUGGCGGACGGGUGAGUAAUGUCUGGGAAACUGCCUGAUGGC
rnacentral:rRNA from 1 species